GUGAGUUUCCUGAGGCCUCCCCAGCCAUGCUGAGCUGUGAGUCAAUUAAAUCUCUUAUCUUUAUAAAUAACCCCAUCAUGGGUGGUAUGUUUGCAACAACGUGAGAACGGACUAAUAGACAAAGUCUGUCUCUGUAAUGGUUUCACUGAAAGACGUAAAUGUUAAUAGAAGAUUAUUAUUAGUAUUCUGAAAAAUCUGUUAAGAAUUAUUUCUGGAAUAGACACUGCCUAUUAUCUUUAGGACUCUCUAGAUCAUGUUAAAAGUUUUUUUUUUUUUUUAAAUAUAGCAUUUAUUUAAUAACAAGGUAACACAAAAAGUCCUUUUAUAAAAUGUUUUCUCAAAUAGCUAUCUGCCAUACUUCAACAAAUUUAAGUCAUCAAUUGUAGGAAAAAAAUUGUUGUUGUUGUUUGUAGUCCACACUUUCUAAAAAGAGAAAAAGUAAAAGCACCAACAUAAAUGUAAAAGAUUGUACAAGGAAUCAGGAUAUUAAAGAUAUUAGAUCCAAAAAUGUAUGUGUUUUAGAAUUAAUACAACAUAGUAACAUUCAAAUAGGCUAGAAGUUAAAUAUACCUCGUAUUAUUUUCCUAGAAUUAUAGCAUAGCUAUUGUAAUGGUGAAACCGCGUACUGUGGAAGUAUAUAAAAUAGAUUACAAGAAAAAUGGUCAAUGUUUCGUAAAUGAUGAAUAGAAUUCUCCAUUUAUCUGUAUUUAUCAGGAAGUAGAUAAAUGAGAAUUUGCAUGGCCCAACACUUUUUGGCAUAAUAAAUGUUACUAACCAGGAAACUUUAAUUAUUAUUUUUGUUUUCCUUUGAGAUCUAGCUGAUUUAUCACUUCUACUGGAAAAAGAGAUGGAAAUAUAGUGUAAAGGUAGAAAAAUACUUAUUUAGGGAGUUUUUCUUAAACUUUGUUCUCAUAUUAAUAUGUCAAAUAGAUCUGAAGAUUGUUAUUAUACAUCAGCAUGGAAAGAGGUUCUGUCUUCUUUAACAGUCUACCUGAAGUACAAGUUAUUCUAGCUGUCAUACUAUUUUCCCUCUUCCUUAAUAUUUUAUUAUCCAUCUGUAUAACAUAUUUUAUAUCUUCUAGCUAUAAUUUUAUUGUAAGCCAUGUAAAAUUAUUUAGGUUAUUGAAUCACAAUGACUGUAAAAAUUUUGAAAGAUAUUUGUAUGAAAAAAGUGAAAAAUGGGGAUCCAUAACUUGUUUUUUCCGUCUAAGACCAUUUAAUUUACUCAAUUUCAUUUUCUCUGUGGUGAAAAUUAAAGGUUUGAUUUUUGUAUUAUUAGUAAUGUUGAAAAAAGCUGAUAUCAAAAGGGUAUUUUUGAUUUUCAAUUUACUAUGAAAUAUAAGGACUUCAAAUUUUAAUUUGGUCUUUUUUUUAAGUGGCAGUCUCAGAAUAUUCUGGCAAAUAUUCUGGUAAAUAAGUAUGUCAUUUUGAUUUUGAUGGGGCCCUAAAUUCUCUGAACUUUCUGCUUUAAUGUUCAAUGGGAUGAUACUGGGUAGGAUUACAUAUCUGGUGGUGUACAAAUAAGAACACAAUAAUAAAUUCUACUAGUUUUUAAAAAUUAUUCAUAUAACUAGAAUUCGUUUAGGCUUUGUGCCUUUGGUUUUAAUGACUUGCCUUUUUUUUAGGAUAAUAAAUGUAGAAAGCAAAGUAUCUUUAUGGCAUAAUACAGCCCAGGGCAGAAAUACUAUUGUCAAUAAUAACAAUAAUAACAUCCAUAAUUAGUAAGUAUUUACUAUGUAGAAGUGGUUUGCAAAUAUUCUCUCUCUUCAUUCUUGCAAUAACCACAAUUAGUAGGUGUGUUAGUUAGGGGUCUCCAGAAAGACAAAAAGGAUAUAGAUAUAGACAAUGAUAAUAGAUAUUUGAGAGAGGAUUCAUUAGGAAAAUUGGCUGCUGCAAUUAUGGAGGCUGAGAAGUUCUACAACAGGCUGCCUAUAAGCUGGAGACCCUGGGAUGCUGGUGACCUGGCUCAUUCCAAGUUUGAAGGCCUCAGAACCAGAGAAGCUAUGGUGUACCUCUCAGUCUGAGACCAAAGGUCUUAGGGUGCAGGGAGCCACUGUUCCAAGUCCUGCAGUCCAAAGACCAGGGAGCCUGAAAUUGGGGUCCCACAAGAGAGAAAGAGUGUGUACUGGCUUCAGAUCAAGUAUUCACCUUCCCUCUGUUUUUGUUCCUCUGGGUGCCCAGAAGAUUGGCUGUUGCCCACCUGCGUUGAGAGCAUAUCUUCCCUACUUACUCUACUCAUACUCACAUGCUCAUCUCUUCUGAAACAUCUUCAUAGGCACCCUCUAAAAUAAAGCUUUACCAGGUUUCUGGGUAUUUCCUAAUCUAGUCAAGGUGACAUCUAAAGUUAACCAUCACAAUAGGUUACUAUUACUAUUUCUAUUUUGAAGAUAAAUAAACUGGACUUAAAAAAUAUUAAGUAAUAUUCCCCAAGGAGGGCAUACAGUAAUUUAUAGAGUUCACAUUUGAAGCCAGGCAGCAUAAUUGCUGAUUUUCUUUUUAUCACAAUGCUAUAAAGAUUCUGAGAAGAAAGGGAAUCACAUGACACUGAACUUUUAUUAUCCUCUGCUAUGUGUGAAUGAGUAGGGGAUGCAUAAAAUUAUUCAUGUGGUCCAGGUGUCACCUCUUCAAGGCAGGUUUUGUUUGUUUCUUUGUUUGUUUGUUUGUUUUUAGCUGAAUGAGACUUUGCUUAGUGUAGAUUUUUUACUUAAGAAAUGAAACGAUUUUAAAAGAGAUACAGAUUGUGGAAUUUGAUUAAAUUAUUUCUUAUAUUGAAAAGUAUGUUAUCAGACUACUUAAGCUUAUUUCUACAGACACAGGAAACUAAAAUAAUAAAGUGUGAUAACAGAAUGGACUGAAAUGCCCUAAUUGGGCCCGCUGACUUCAUGGCCUUUUCUUUAUUAACACUAGAAGACAAAAAAAGACAAUUAGUUAUAUUUGAAGUGUGUUUUGUUUUGUUGCUCAUGGGGUAAUGUCUUCUAUAAAUCAUAUUACUCUAGUUUUUAUUUUUUAGAGAAUUUUUUGUGGAUGAGGUGGAAGGAAGGAAAAUCAAUGUGAGAAAAAUGGCAGGCUUGAAAAAGAUCUCAAGUCUAUGAGAUGACUCUACUGAUUUCAUGAAAAUCAUAUUUUAUCUUAUUAAGGGGAGAUACUAGAACAGUGAUUUUUUAGUUAAUUUUAUUCAUACAUUAUAGCCACUCCACUUUUUGAAAUUUUUUAUUUAAGGACCAGAAUACUAACUAAAGUUAUUCCCUAUUUGGCAACUGGUGAAAAUAUAUACCAUUUUGAUAUGUCCACAUAUAAAUGGAUAGGCUAAGUUGAUCUAAAUAUUUUAAAUAAAAUAUUUAUGACUUCCUUUCUUCUAUAGCUACAAUAAGUGAUUUUUGCCUCCCUAAACUACAUUUGGUUUUGCAAAUAUUUACAGCAGUGUUUUAUAAAAUAUGUAUUUUAGUUUUAAUAAUUAUUAGACUCAAUUCCCUUUGUGAAGAAUCGUAACAUAUUCGGGGUUACUUUUGAUAAAAAGAUGGAGGAAACUUUAAAAUUAUUGAAAUGCAUGUAAAUCCUUUUAGGUUUAGAAACCCUCUAACUAAUUAUUUCCAGAAUUUGUAUAUGGCCUUAAGAUAAACACAUUUUAUGUUAUUUUAUUUUGAGCUCACAUUUUAUUUAUUAAAACAUGUAUAUUUGAGACUUACACACUACACUUAAAUUUAGCACACAUUUGGAAAUAAAGAGCAAUAAAAAUCUCUUAAUCUAUUCUAUAAAAGCAAAGUUGAAGAGGAUCAUAGACUGUAAUAUUGAGAGAAUUUAGAGAUUGUCUAACCCCUCUCUCAUUUUGAAACUGAGUCCCAGAGAGAAUAAAUAAUUUACUAAAGAUGAGGGUUUUUCUUGCCCUACUCUUAGUCGAGUCCUUUUUCAGCUAUAUUAUCCUAAAAAUAUAAUUUGAUUCAAGAUACUAGAAAGAGGAAUGUAACAAAGAUUUAAAGAAAAUAUAUGCCAAUCUAUAUAUGUUUAGGCACACAUUUUCAUUGAUCAGUGGGAAGAAAAUAAACAAUAUAGAUGCCAUAAUUCAUAUGUGACCAAACUGUAAUCUAAAGUCAUCAAAUAUCUACAAUAGAUUAUCAAAUUUGAUACGAAUUUCAUAGUCUUGUUCAAAGAGUACUGGGCAGUAUGUUUUGCAAGGAAAGGAUGGAGAAGAUAAUGAAGCAGCACUUAACAUACCUAUAGAUAUGUCUUUUAUAAAGCACAGGUAGAAAUAUGGAAUGAAAGGAGGCAGCCUGUGUCAUUGAUAUCAUUGUUCACAUAGUGAAUGUGUAGCUGAACUUCACAUCUAUGCAUUACACUGUCAUUUCAUGUAUGUAGAAAUUACAUGUCAUAAUGAUAAAUCUUUGUAAUUAAAAUUGUAUCAUGCUUCAAAUGCAGUCCUUUGGUGCUCAGGGAAAAGAGGUGAAUCAAGAAUUAGUGUCUUGGCUCAAGCACCUCUUAAAAAUUACGAGAACCUAACUAUCACUUGUGCAAAAUAAAUACAUCAGAGGUCACGGUGUAGGUUAUCAACUCCUUUGUGAUUUUAUUGAAGAUCACCAGUGCAUAAUUUAAGUGACUAUUCAAUUGUUUUGUGUAUUUAAUACUAUUACUAUGCACAGUGACUUCUGUUACUUUUGGUUCAUUAUUAAAUAUAAAAUAAUGAAAAAAUAUGUACAACAAUAGUGUUUAUAGAGCCAUUUUCAUGUUAAUUUUAAUGUCUAAUUUAAACUUAAAUCAGGGAGAGAUUUAGUGUAACUUUAAAGUUCAUUUACAUUUUAAUCCAUUAAACUAUGACUUAGUAAGAAAUAUUCAAUGCCAAAGAAAUUGUAAUUCCUUUGGAAUUACAAAAUUUUAUAUUUUUGAAGAGGAAAUCAGCAGUAAUAUAUAAUUAUCAAAUUAACAGAAAUGGGGUCUUCUAAGCCAUGAGUACGUUUCUAAAUAGAUAAACAUAGAAUGAUGGACACUCCCCCCUCAAAUGGUUUUCUUUCUAAAAUAUUUCUAAUUAUAAUUUCAAAUGACAUUUAAAUCAACUAGCUUGUGAAAUAGGGAAUGUCCUAUGGAAAAAAAUAAUAAAAUAAUUGAGAUACAAAGGGCAAACAGUUGACAAUCCAUAAGUGUAUACAAAUUUUGUACUCUGAUUAUUGUCAUUUAUGGUUGUCUGAUUAGAACUUUGCCAUGAACAAAUGUAAAACAAUCAGAGAAUUAAGUAGCUCUUGUAUCCAAAAAACACUCUAAGACUUAUGCAUAAAGUCAGAAAUGGUUUUGGAAAGGCAAAGUGAUAAAAGCAGAGCUCAGAGAUAAAAUGCUUGAAAGAUUAUGAAUGCAGAAAUACAAAUUUUGCCUGAGAAUUUUGAUUUAUUAUUUGAAUUCAAACCCAGCCUAUGUGUUCUAGAUGAGAAGGCAUAUUUCUAGAUUAUAAAAAUAAUAUUUUCAAGAUAUUCUCUUCUAGCCCUAGCAACGUGAAGUUGUAAAAAAAAGUCUGGUUUUGAAACCUGAUAAUUUGAAACUCAAUACUAGCACUGCAAGAAAGGACAGUCACAAUCACUUAUGUGCUGUGCCUCAGUUUUCAUCUGAAAAUGAGAAUUAAAUGCAAACAAUAUAUGCAAACUUCCUGGCAUAGUGUUUAGAACACAGUAUAUGUUAGUUCCCUUCUUGCAUCUACCUUUCUUAUGCAGUUCUCAAUAGAGUAACAAUAUUUAUGAAUAUUAAUUUAUUGGUUAAUCCUUGCCACAUCUAUAUAAAACGUGUUCUUUAUUGGUUCUUUGUUGACAGAUAUGGUUGAUUUUAGUAGUCUAGGCUCACUAGCAACCAGAAGAUUUCAUAUUCUCAUUCCACUUAUACCUUAGAUAAAUCACCUAAUACCUCUUGCACUUGAGUUUUCAAUUAUGAAAGAAUAAUUUUCUGAGUAUUUUUUUCUUUCCUUUUAUUAUUUGAUAAUACCUACCUGCUACCUAUCCUCUUGGAAAGUUCUAAGGCAAAAUGUGAGUCACAUUUUCUUAGUGCUCAAGUUUUCUCCUUAGAACAAGUGAGGACAUGACAUUACCCCUUCUAAUUCAGCAGAGAACGGUGCUGUAGUUUUGCUUUCUGAGCACUUGGGAACUGAAGUUCACGCAUUUAAUUAAAAAAUGCAACUCUAUAUGCAUAUCUAGGGACCUCUAUUAGGGUUUAAUUGUUCUUUGUGUAUUUAUUUUCUGGCAUAGAGAUAACAACCUGCUAUAAUAAUAGUAACGAAACGUAUUUAUACUUAGCUAUGUGUCAUUAAAGAUAGAUUCAUUUUUUAAAAUACAUUAUUUUGCUUUCCUGGUAAGGCUCAAGAAUAGCAAAACAAAGACAACAAAAACUUUUGAUGACUUUUGGGGAGGGAAAAAAGGAACAUGAACUGGGCAACACAACCAAUUUACUUGAUUUUAAAUAUUGAGUUUAAGCCAAGGCGUAACACUGGUGCCAAGCCUUUAACACAAGACUUCCUAGUGGUGCCAAGAAAAUCCUAUUCAUUGUUCAUUUCUUAAUUUCUUAGUUCCUCUGCAAUUAUUCAAAUGUCCCUGCUGAGUAGAGCUACCAAUUCAGCUAAGAAUUUGUUUCGCCAGAGAUUACUUUUAUACUGUAUUUGAAACUCAUUAAUCAUUGCUCCCUUUUAAGCCCGCAUUUCACAAUAAAAUGGGAUCUGAAUGCCUAGAUAUUCCAUUAUUAGUUCUAAAUAAGCAGAAACAGUACCAAAUAUAUUUUUUACCCCUCUUACUUGAUGAACUUGCAUUAAGAAUAUUUUGAUGACUUAUUUUAAUUGGCUAAGAUCUAAUUUAUUAGGUAUUUUCUGGGACUUUUAAAAACAAUUAAAAUACCCACUUACUGUUUGCUUGAAAACUUGAACUUCUAAAGAAAGGGCAGGCUAUCGCUGAUAGUGUUUUCAGUAGCUCAAUUGCUAUAACACGACUGGAUCUCUCUGUCAGUGUGUAAAAAAGAAGUGAAGCAAGUGUCGUCAAAACAGUGGAGAUGUGAGACACCUGCAGAGUAGACUUGGUUUGCAGACUCAGUAACCACAGGAUGCUUGGGGGUUGCAUUCUAAAAUUAGAAUCUUUACUCCAAACAUGAAAACUUAGGAAUGAUAUCUUAGUAGCAUUUCACAAGUGUUUAGACUUAUUUCAUAUUUGUUUGUAUUCUUUUACUCCAUACAUAAGGCAAUUGACAGCUUAAACUCUCUCAUUGCUUAGAACCACUGUAACAGUUUUUAAAUGGUUUUCAUAUGCUUGUAUACAAGACCGUGGAUUUUCUAACAGAAAGCAAAUAAUGACCAUAUGUCUCCCUUUAUUGCUGGUUAUGAAAGUAUAUUUAACAAUUACGUCUAUAUCCUUGUUUCAAGUUCUUAAAUUUGGUGACUUAGAGAAAAGUUGUUUAUAAAACAUUAUUCCAUCAGUUUAUUUUAUUUUUUAAAGCAUAACUAUGUUUAAAAAACAACAUAAAAUCUGUUUUCUAUGAAAUAAUUGUAAUAAUAAAUCCAUACAUGUCAACAGGUCAUACCUAUUUCAAUGUUUCUUAAAGAAAAAUAAAUAUUGACAUGUACCUAGAACCGAGCAAAAGGCAAAUAAAAAGACCAAAGAGAGAUAUAGCAAAAUAGCUGAUAAAUAUAUAACAGAAAAAGAGGAUAUGUGUCUAUACAUGUUACUUUUCUAUAUAUACAUAUAUUUAUAUGUACAUGUGUAUAGAUGCAUAAGUAUAGACACAUACACGUAUGAAUUUAUAUGUCUAUAUGAGUAUAAUAUCUAACUAUUAUGCAUAGCCAUGCACACUGUGUGUCACUGACACAUCCAAAGAGAAAUGUACUCAACUUGAUAUAAUUCUGUUUUUCUAUGCAUGGUCACAAACGAUAUUUGGCUCCCAAUAAUUUAUUUUUAUAUAAAAUUAAUUUUACAGAAAACAGUAUGGAACUCAAUAGACAGAAUGGCAAAUGAGUAAUCCAUAUGUGUUUAUAUCUAUCAACAUGGCACUGAAACAUUGUGUGUGUCAUGGGAAAUGUGCCCACAGGCUGAAGUGAAUAUACAAAGGCAUCACAUGGGGAGAACAUGCUGGAGGGGUUUUAUUUGAUGUUUUCAAACUGCUCUAGGGUCUGUCUUGCAAGAAACCCUUUUGGUUUUCUUUUCUUUUUAUUACUUUUUUAUUUUUUAUGUUUUAAAACAUACAGAUCUCCUUUGAAACAUCCUGCCAAGAGAAAGAGUAAAAGAGUAAUUACAAAUGAACUAUGCAAUCAUAUUCUCUCUCUCUCUCUCUCUCUCACACACACACACACACACACACACAUCCCAAAGAUAGACAUUCAAGUUCUAUGUUUGUAUCUGUAGAGACACCUGCCACAGUCAACAGUUAGGAUUUGUGAAAUUGCAUACCCAGAAUUUGAGAUCACAAACGGUACUGAGGGCAGGAUAAAGAAAAGAUGGCACUGAAGUGAAGAGCUAUUAUAUGUACCCAUGAAGGUUUAUUUUCACUUGCUUAUUGGUAUGGGUAUGUGUAUUUAAUUAUUUAAAAUUAUUAGGAGACAUAUAUAUUUUCCUACCAAACGGAAAUAAUUAAAAUAGCCCACUCCCUUGAACUCUUCACAUCUCAUUAAAGGUUGAAACUAGGCUUUGUGUCACCCUAAACUUACACCUAGCUCAUUGUUUUUGGAGCUGAAGAUUAGGACAAAGUUUUCGGCAAAACUGUCUUUUCAAUAUGCCAUGGAAAGCUAACUUGAAAUUUUAAACCUGACAAGAACACUUCAACUUUCUAUAAGUGACUCAAGUAAUUACUUCUUCACAAGACAGACAUAGUUUUGAUGCUAUAUUCAUAUCGUUUUCGUUUCAUGAGUCUUUCAUUGCUUCCUCUUAAACUAAAGCUGGACACUCAUGGGAAGCUUAGUGUAAUUUUAUUCAUAAUACGGAGCUUGCAAAGAAUGAAUAUAACUUGAAGGUCUGAUGGUAAAAGGCGUACUCUUUCUUCCUCCCAGGAAGAAAGCCUGCUGUUAAACUUCUGUUUGCACACAAAAGAUUUCUACAGAAGAGUUUAUGUUACUCCGUGGUUUAAGAAGUCAGAGCCCUCUCAGUAGGGGUAGCCCCCAGGCUGGCAUUUGAUAACAGUGAACAAACAGGUGCAGUCCUCUGGUGUUCACAUUGCCGGCUUCUCCACAGGACAAUGGUAGUUUUAUUCCCUGCGAAACAUUGAUGCUGCAGGCUGUGAUGUUCCCAGGCAGAGAUGAUGGUUAUUACCAAGAAAUGUCAUUUCAAGAUGAGA